rnacentral:rRNA from 1 species
UACGGAGGGAGCUAGCGUUGUUCGGAAUUACUGGGCGUAAAGCGCGCGUAGGCGGCUUUGUAAGUUAGAGGUGAAAGCCCGGAGCUCAACUCCGGAACUGCCUUUAAAACUGCAUCGCUUGAAUCCAGGAGAGGUGAGUGGAAUUCCGAGUGUAGAGGUGAAAUUCGUAGAUAUUCGGAAGAACACCAGUGGCGAAGGCGGCUACCUGGCCCAUUCUUGACGCUGAGGCGCGAAAGCUAGGGGAGCAAACGGG